AUGUUGCACGCCCCAAUGCUGUUCACAACCAAGUUGCCUUGCACACUCACAUCCCAUUGCACGUCCAAGUGGCUUUGCACACUCAAAUCCUCUUGCACACCCAAGUGUCGUUGUAUGUCCCAGUUGCAUUGCACACCCAAAUCCCAUUGCACAUCCAAGCUGCUUUGCACGCUCAAAUCCCUUUGCACACCCAAAUCCUGUUGCACACCCACGUGUCGUUGCAAGUCACAGUUGCGUUGCACACCUGAAUUCUGUUGCACACCCCAAUCCUGUUGCAAGUGCCAGCUGUGUUGCACACUCAAAUCCCAUUGCAAGUCCAAGUUGUGUUGCACGCCCCAAUGCUGUUCACACUCAAGUUGCUUUGCACACCCAAAUCCUGUUGCACACCCACAUGUUGCUGCAAGUCACAGUUGCGUUGCACACUCAAAUCCCAUUGCAAGUCCAAGUUGUGUUGCACACCCCAGUGCUGUUCACACUCAAGUUGCGUUGCACACUCAAAUCCCACUGCAAGUCCAAGUUGUGUUGCACGCCGCAAUCCCCUUGCACGUCCAGGUGUCAUUGCACGUCCAAGUGUUGUUGCAAGUCUCAGUUGUGUUGCACACCCCCAUCCCCUUGCAUGUCCCAGUUGUGUUGCACGGCCUGUUUGCAUUGCACGCCCCAAUCCCUUUGCACAACCACGUGUCGUUGCAGGCCCCAGUUGCAUCGCACAUCCCAAUCCCAUUGCACACCCAAGUGUCGUUGCACGUCCAGGUAGCGUUGCACACUCAAGUGUCAUUGCAAGUCCAAGUAGUGUUGCACACCCCAAUGCUGUUGCACACCCCCGCCCCUUUGCACAUCCACGUGUCGUUGCAAGCUCAGGCAGCGUUGCACGCCCCAGUCCCUUUGCACGUCCACGUGUCGUUGCAGGGUCCCCGUUGCAUUGCAAGUCCCAGUCGUGUUGCAAAUCUCAGUUGCAUUGCACACUCCAAACCCUUUGCACAUCCAUGUGUUGCAUUGCACACCCCCGUCCCUUUGCACAUCCACAUCUCGUUGCAAGUCCAAGUGUCGUUGCAAGUCCAAGUGUUGUUGCAGAUCCCGGUUGCAUUGCACUCUCCAAUCCCUUUGCACAUCCAGGUGUCGUUGCACAUCCAUGUCUUGUUGCAAGUCCCAGCUGCAUUGCACACCCCAAUCCCUUUGCAAGUCCCGGUUGC
rnacentral:lncRNA from 1 species